UUCGCAGUGUAUAGAGCAUCGCGGACGGCCGUACAGCCAGUCAGUCAGCUGCCGGCAGUCAGCGUGUGCACAACACACAUGCUCUUCCUCGGUGUGGGUCACCGUGAACCGUACCAGCACAGUGCACAGUGUACCUUUGAUUGAAUUCGUGACCCGGCUGUGACACGUUAGUUGCACGUCGUUCGGUACGCACGCAGCGCGACCUUUAACGCUAAAUGACUUUACGGUUGCGCGAGUUGAUAUUAACAAUCCGUGUCAACCUUGCGAUGUUUGCCGGCCGUUCCCGGUGGUUCGCCUGUUCCGUGGUGCACGUUCAGCUGGCGAUACAUUGCACGAAACGUGUCCUGCCAAACCGCGUGUAGUGUGCCCUAACAUUCGCUCUGAUUCGUCCAUUCGUGAUCGGUUGCAAAAGUUGUGUCAAAUUGUUUUAUUCUACGUUCUGCUGAAGUAAUGCCAGGAGCGGGCGGAAUCUGAUGAAGAAGGGUGACGAGAUUUCUCAUUACAAAUCUCGAGUGUGCAAUAGUGGAGGCGAAAAAAAAAUCCCCAAAAGUACCCACCGGAGUAUCCGCGCGGUGUGUUGUAGUGAACGUGGGACAAAAGGAACGCAGUGCCGUAGAUGUAUAAGGGUUUUGCAAAAUUUUCAUCCCGUAAAGGCAGCUAUCCACUGCUAUGGAUGGAACUGUACCGGUGCGUUGCAUGCCCAACUGACCCCGCACGGUAGACAACGAACGAAAGUGUGAAGAUAGCCAACAAACAGCAGCGGCCACAACAAAAAGAAAUCAUUCUCCUGGUCAAUUCCAGCGGAAGCGUCCACAACAGUGCUGUAGUGCAACGAACGAACUCCGCAACUUUGCGGACUUCAUUUGAAGACGCGUGCAAAGUGAGAACCAAAAAAAAAACGUACAAUUUGGAGGGAGAGAAAGAGAUCAAGUCUGUAAUUAAAGCAUAGAGAAGAUAGUUAACCUGCAAGGUAGAGUCAAAAAAUAAAAAAAAAAUACAACGAACGACGAGUGCCCACGAUCCAACAGGGUAGUUAGUGGUCACUCUUUUCGCUACUACGAUGCAGCAUACGUGGGAACUCUAGUUAUGUCGCACCAAAUGGAUAAAGUGAUUCCGAGGAAUGUAUCACACACGCCGCACUUCUGGAAGUCUGUUAAUUGAAGGUGGUAGACAGUAUACGAUAUCGUCUAGACGAAAGCGCAACCAGAGCACUCCAGCACGGCGUUAAGCAGGAAGGACCUGCUUUACCAGGACGUGCACCACGAGAUUGCAUAGUGGCAAAAUUACAGAAAUCAUUCGACCCGAAAGUCUGUCAGCUCGGGCGCGGAACACCUAACUAUCCCGGCAACUGGACAGAGGUGCCGACCUGCGGCUAGCGAACAUUCGCACUGUGCUGCUCUGGAAGGACAGCCCCUCGGGAAGUGCAAAACGACCCUCACCCAAUAUUCCAGAGAUAUGGUCCGCCAUGGUGUCAACAAUCGGUGGCCCUUCUACUGUCGCUGCUGCUGCUGCUGCCGCUGUUGCCGGUGCUGCGGGUGCGGCAACCACCAUCAGCACCACUACUGAUGCGACACAACUGUUCAUCAACACAACGCUUGACUCAUGUGCCCUUAAAUAUGAAGAGUUCGUUAUACCGACUACAGUUCCUUACUGCAACUGGACCUGGGAUAGCAUACUGUGCUGGCCACCAACGCCAGCCAAUUUGACAAUAAGACAGCGAUGCCCUUCUGGACACGGAAUCGAUACCUCAAAGUUUGCCGAACGAAGAUGCAGUGCCGAGGGACAGUGGGAAGGGAGACCGGGCUCCCCGUCAAACCUACACGGAUGGACCAACUAUACGCCCUGCUACAGCCCGGAAGUUAUACAACUGUUUAGAAAGCUUUACGCCGGCGGUAACGACGAUGAAGCGAAUGAUAAGAUUGACAUUGCCGAGCGGACGCGUACGCUGGAGACGGUGGGAUUUAGUCUUUCACUAGUAGCGUUAAUCAUUUCGUUAGUAAUAUUUUGUAAAUUUCGCGGUCUUCGCAACAACCGGACGAGAAUACACAAAAAUCUGUUCGUUGCCAUGGUGAUACAGGUGGUGAUCCGCCUAACCUUAUACAUCGACCAAGCGAUCAUACGCAGCGGGGGCAAAAAGUUCGGCAACGAAAGCUCCCGCCAAGGAAUCGAUAACACGCCGUUCCUCUGCGAAGCGUCGUACGUGCUGAUGGAGUACGCCAGGACCUGCAUGUUUAUGUGGAUGUUUAUAGAGGGAUUAUAUUUACACAACGUAGUGACGGUGACAGUAUUUCAGGGAAGGUUUCCACAUACGCUUUACGCCAUCGUGGGCUGGGGUGGCCCGGUCGUACUGACCGUCAUCUGGGCCAUCACCACCGCGCACUACAUCCGGCAGCAGAAAUGCUGGUGGGGUUACAACUUGACGCCUUAUUACUGGAUUUUGGAAGGUCCAAGAUUAGCAGUAGUCGUGUUGAAUUUUAUAUUUUUACUAAACAUUAUACGUGUACUGAUCGUGAAGCUGCGCCAAAGCCACACGAGCGAUGUGGAGCAGGUACGGAAAGCGGUCCGUGCGGCGGUCGUCCUUGUGCCAUUGCUUGGAAUCACCAACAUACUCAACAUGACCCAAAACCCGCUUGAUAAGACGGCACUCGAGUUCGCCAUCUGGUCCUACGUGACGCAUUUUCUCGUCUCCUUCCAAGGGUUCUUCAUCGCGCUGCUGUACUGCUUCCUAAAUGGCGAGGUACGGACGGCCCUGAUGAAGAGUAUCAGCGUGUAUCUAUCACUGCGCGGGCACCAUGAUUGGGCGGUACGGAGGCAAUCGCUCUUUUCCGCCGGUUAUCCCACGGUACCGGUCAAUGAGGCACCGCACGCCGGAGACACAAAUCGCAACACCAAUAGAAAUGCCGCCAGCAACAACCUGCUGACAGGUGCCAACAAUCAUACCGCCAACGGUGGCAUGGCCAGCAGUACCGCGAACGGUUUCCGAUGCGGCUGGUUUAGUCGCUGCUUUCUAGUACAAAAACAUACCAACCCGUCCGCUCCGGAGCCGGCCCCACCCGAGUCAGUUGUGUUCGACAUUUCCGACUAGUGUGUCCUUUCCUUGUGUUUUUUUUUCUUCCUUUUUGCUGCGUUUGUUUGAUUUUCUGUUCUGUGGCCACUCCAUCCUUAACCAGCGUGUGAUGGCGGCUGUCGGAGCACGUGUGAAGUACACCGAUCCAUGAGACUAUAAGAAACUAGAACAAAACAAAACGAACAAAAAAAAGCUUUACCCGGUUGACUGUGCGUCACCGGAAACCGGAACUGCUAUCAGGGUAGCGCACCAAUUGAACGAUUGUACCAGCAAACGCAACACGAUGAACAACAAAUUAGGAAAAAAACGAAAGAAACAGCAAACAACAAACGCAUGAUUUUACAUACAGCGGGCGAUUGUUCUGUCGCCAAAACUUUGUUUGAAGCUUUUGCCACCGUUUGCAGAAAAAGUUAAAGGGAGCAUACGCGCAUCCGAUUGUAUUACCGUGCGUAAGAAUCGAAUUUACCGAGGGGCAGCGGUGUAUAGUAAACGAAAGGAAAUGUUACUUAGAUAGGUUUUGGGCACGUUGGGCAGGAAUGUAUCGAAUUAAGGGAAUGGUAAAAUGUUGCUCGCUCGUUUGAUAUACAACAAAAAAGAAAAAGAGAAAGAUAUAUAAAUACAUACAAAUAUAUGUAUACAUAUAUAUAUAUAUAUAUUUUAUCAGGGUGACGAAGAUUCUAGCCGAAGAAGCUAUUAAAUUAUGUCGAUUGUUUUUUUUCUGGUCGAUUUCGUAACUGUUGUAGCGUGUAAGGUGUAACGGGCAGCCGUAACGGAAGCUGUAUCGCGCAAUUAAUUGCAAACCCAAGAACCAGGACAGCUUCUACACUACAUCCACAUCACCGAUCAUUUGGACCGGGGAGCAGUUUAGAUUGAUUUAUGUGUAAAACAAAACUGGAAUGCUAAAUGAACGAAUAAAUGCAAUGUUGUCUG